UGCCAGCCGCCGCGGUAAUACGGAGGGGGUUAGCGUUGUUCGGAAUUACUGGGCGUAAAGCGCACGUAGGCGGAUUGGAAAGUUGGGGGUGAAAUCCCGGGGCUCAACCCCGGAACUGCCUCCAAAACUAUCAGUCUAGAGUUCGAGAGAGGUGAGUGGAAUUCCAAGUGUAGAGGUGAAAUUCGUAGAUAUUUGGAGGAACACCAGUGGCGAAGGCGGCUCACUGGCUCGAUACUGACGCUGAGAUGCGAAGGCAUGGGUAGCAAACGGGAUUAGAUA
rnacentral:rRNA from 1 species